GACGAACGCUGGCGGCGUGCUUAACACAUGCAAGUCGAACGGAAAGGCCUGCAGCUUGCUGCGGGUACUCGAGUGGCGAACGGGUGAGUAACACGUGGGUGAUCUGCCUUGCACUUCGGGAUAAGCUUGGGAAACUGGGUCUAAUACCGGGUAGGACAGCUGUUUAGUGUCAGUUGUGGAAAGUUUUUUCGGUGCAAGAUGAGCUCGCGGCCUAUCAGCUUGUUGGUGGGGUAAUGGCCUACCAAGGCGUCGACGGGUAGCCGGCCUGAGAGGGUGUACGGCCACAUUGGGACUGAGAUACGGCCCAGACUCCUACGGGAGGCAGCAGUGGGGAAUAUUGCACAAUGGGCGGAAGCCUGAUGCAGCGACGCCGCGUGGGGGAUGAAGGCCUUCGGGUUGUAAACUCCUUUCGACAGGGACGAAGCGUAAGUGACGGUACCUGUAUAAGAAGCACCGGCUAACUACGUGCCAGCAGCCGCGGUAAUACGUAGGGUGCGAGCGUUGUCCGGAAUUACUGGGCGUAAAGAGCUCGUAGGUGGUUUGUCGCGUCGUCUGUGAAAUUCCGGGGCUUAACUCCGGGCGUGCAGGCGAUACGGGCUGACUUGAGUGCUGUAGGGGAGACUGGAAUUCCUGGUGUAGCGGUGAAAUGCGCAGAUAUCAGGAGGAACACCGAUGGCGAAGGCAGGUCUCUGGGCAGUAACUGACGCUGAGGAGCGAAAGCAUGGGUAGCGAACAGG
rnacentral:rRNA from 1 species